rnacentral:rRNA from 1 species
UACCAGCACCCCGAGUGGUCGGGACGAUUAUUGGGCCUAAAGCAUCCGUAGCCGGUUUACAAGUCCUCCGUUAAAUCCAGCUGCUUAACAGAUGGGCUGCGGAGGAUACUAUAAGACUAGGAGGCAGGAGAGGCAAGCGGUACUCAGUGGGUAGGGGUAAAAUCCGUUGAUCCAUUGAAGACCACCAGUGGCGAAGGCGGCUCUCUGGGACGGUACUGACGCUGAGACGCGAAAGCGUGGGGAGCGAACAGG